ACUGCUGCACAACCAGAAGGCCACCGAGCCUUGAGUACACAUCACACGGCCCAAGAAGGCUCCACCUGAGCCCAGGUCCCAACAGACACUGGAGACCCACAAAUUCAACUGACAAGGAAAAGAAACAGCCACCCCCGAGGAAGACGGCUUCUACUCGAGAUACCCGAUCAAGACUUCAUGCGUGAGCUGAACACGACAGGCUUUCUCCUCUUCCCUUCCCUCCAAACUAGCACCAGCUAGUUUGAAAGGCCCACCCGCGAAGAGCUCAUAGUCUGCAGCAGACAGCCUCCCGGGACGCUAGGCCAACAAUAUGAUAGAUGCCGGGCAAUGUCAGGCCACUGAACACCCUGUCUCGGAAGCCACUCCCUGUGAGGCAUCAGACUGCAAGUUCUCUCGGAACCAGGAUGAGGUAGAAAUUAAUGUCAGCACAAAUAGCGAGUCCCUGUGCCACUGGUGACUGCGGACAGAGCUGCUCCCUCAGGCCCACAGCCCUGGACAGGGCCUACGCGACAGGACUUCACAGAGCCUGGUUCCGUGACAUUAUACACGUAUGAGAAGCCAGCGAAUGACGUGAGGAUGCUCCCAGGUCAGCAGCUGAGCACUCCUUCUUGCCCUCUCUGUGAACACACACACACAUGCCUCCUUCAGGCCCAGGGUAGCACACCCUCUAGCUAAGGACACCUGGCCUUGUGUAGGAAAGGCAGGCCUUCCAAGGCAACAAACGCACAUUCUCAAGCUCGACAGAGGUAAAGCAGCGCCAUGUUCUCACAACCGUCCUCAUCAGCCUCUGAGCUAAGCAGAGGCCGACUGUUGUCUACAAACUUCUGCAGCCCAGCCUGUCCCCUCCCUCCCCCUCUGCCUGCUGCCCUUGACCCACAAUCAGCGAGAACUGACAGGCUUCUAGGGAAGGGACCACGGGCAGGAGGGGGGCUGGCGAUUAACGCAAGCCAGAGCUCCAUCUGCCCCAUGUGCCUUCCGGACCCGGGAGCGGACACUGCGUCCUCUAUCAGGCUUAAGAGCCGGGCGCUCUCACCUAGCACAGCAACUUCCACAGGUUUCUGCAGGCAUGACCAAAACGACAAUUACACUUUACACUGUGAGCCGUCUGUGCAGGCACACAUACCCACAUCUGACACAAGAUUAGAAAAUAAUACUUCGGGCCAUCACAGAACUGUGGCUCCAUUCCUUUUUCCAAAUAAUGCUGGUUGCAACCUGCCGAACAGAUUUUAUGAUCUGCUAACGAGUUCCAAAGCAAAGUUUAAAAAACACUGUUCUGGAAGCCCAGGUCAAGAAGCUGUACCUUGACGUACUUUUUUUGGCUGGGAAAUCCCCUCCCCAUCCCUACCAUGAUGAAAUAAAGUAGUUAAUGAGUAA